rnacentral:rRNA from 1 species
UACAGAGGGGCAAGCGUUAUUCGGAAUUAUUGGGCGUAAAGGGCGCGUAGGCGGCCUGGCAAGUGGAAGGUGAAAUCCCUCGGCUUAACCGAGGAACUGCCCUCCAAACUGCUUGGCUUGAGUCCGGGAGAGGUGAGUGGAAUUCCCAGUGUAGCGGUGAAAUGCGUAGAUAUUGGGAGGAACACCAGUGGCGAAGGCGGCUCACUGGACCGGAACUGGACGCUGAGGCGCGAAAGCGUGGGGAGCAAACGGG